AUACACUGCUGAAAAGAAUGUGUAUUCUCUAAAAUUGGAAUGAUACAGAGAAGAUUAGCAUGGCCCCUGUAAAAGGAUGACACACAAAUUCGUGAAGCGUUUCAUAUUUUU
ensembl:snRNA U6 U6 spliceosomal RNA